AGGGGCGGAUGUAGCCAAGUGGAUCAAGGCAGUGGAUUGUGAAUCCACCAUGCGC
rnacentral:tRNA from 5 species